rnacentral:rRNA from 1 species
GAUAAGCCAUGCAUGUCUAAGUAUAAGCAAUCUAUACGGUGAAACUGCGAAUGGCUCAUUAAAUCAGUUAUCGUUUAUUUGAUAGUACCUUACUACAUGGAUAACCGUGGUAAUUCUAGAGCUAAUACAUGCUAAAAACCCCGACUUCGGAAGGGGUGUAUUUAUUAGAUAAAAAACCAGCGCCCUCCGGGGCUCCUUGGUGAUUCAUAAUAACUCAACGAAUCGCAUGGCCUUGCGCCGGCGAUGGUUCAUUCAAAUUUCUGCCCUAUCAACUUUCGAUGGUAGGAUAGUGGCCUACCAUGGUAUCAACGGGUAACGGGGAAUUAGGGUUCUAUUCCGGAGAGGGAGCCUGAGAAACGGCUACCACAUCCAAGGAAGGCAGCAGGCGCGCAAAUUACCCAAUCCCGACACGGGGAGGUAGUGACAAUAAAUACUGAUACAGGGCUCUUUYGGGUCUUGUAAUUGGAAUGAGUACAAUUUAAAUCCCUUAACGAGGAACAAUUGGAGGGCAAGUCUGGUGCCAGCAGCCGCGGUAAUUCCAGCUCCAAUAGCGUAUAUUAAAGUUGUUGCAGUUAAAAAGCUCGUAGUUGAACCUUGGGCCUGGCUGGCCGGUCCGCCUCACCGCGUGUACUGGUCCGGCCGGGCCUUUCCUUCUGGGGAGCCGCAUGCCCUUCRCUGGGCGUGCCGGGGAACCAGGACUUUUACUUUGAAAAAAUUAGAGUGUUCAAAGCAGGCCUUUGCUCGAAUACAUUAGCA